ensembl:lncRNA
UUCACGUUAAUUAAACCCUGGUGCAGUCCACAUCAGCUGUGGAAGCUAUCCAUGCUUAGCGCCAUAUUCCGAUUGAGAAGGGUGAUUUCUCACCGGGGACCAGCAGCAGAAGCACUAAAGCUUAUUCACGGCGGGGUCCGAUAUCUACAGAAAGCCAUCAUGAAAUUAGAUUACGAACAGUCUUAUUUGCCUCUCUGUAUGAGCACACUAAGGUCUUAAAGGUGAAAGUGAGAGAGGCCCAAUUAGCGAGAUUGCAGUGAGAGGAUCUGCUCACUCAGCACAUAUACGAGGAUGUAUAGACCAGUGCACAAGCCCAGAGCUGGAGGAGGAACAAGAUUUUAGAAAGUUUCACAAGGCAUCAGGUUGCAACAUCAUUGAGGUUUGCAUCAAGAAUGGGAUCCUGCGGGAUGCAGCAAAAAGUC